CCCGCUGAACUUAAGCAUAUCAAUAAGCGGAGGAAAAGAAACUAACAAGGAUUCCCCUAGUAACGGCGAGUGAAGAGGGAAGAGCUCAAAUUUUGAAUCUGGCGGCCUUGGCGUCCGAGUUGUAAUCUAAAGAAGUGUUAUUCGUGACGGACCGUGCACAAGUCUCCAGGAAUGGAGCGUAAUAGAGGGUGACAAUCCGGUAUAUGGCACGUCCAUCAGUUGAUGUAUGAUACACACUUGGCGUGUUGAGUGGUGGGGCAACGCAACUCUAAUUGGCUGGUCACUGUCAUCUAUAGCUAUAUAUUGUCGAGAGAAUGAUAGUGAACUAGUCCCGUGAGGGACAGAUGAAAACCUCUUAGGAAAGAGAGUGAUAUCAGUACGUUAAAUAUGUGGAAAGAGAAACGAGUGAAGUCAGAUGCGUCGUUCUGGAUUAUACCUGAGUUCUGCCUGGUUCACUUGUCGUAUGGUGGGUCUACAUCAGUUUUGGUGGGAGAAGAAAAACUUGGGGAAGGUGGCAGCAUUCAUAAUGUGUUAUAGCCCCAUGUCGUAUACUUCGUCUGGCAGUGAGGAACGCAGCUUACCUUUGCCCUGGUUUGGCCCCAGUGCGUACUUUAGAUGAUUGCAUAAUGGCUCUAAGCCACCCGUCUUGAAACACGG
rnacentral:rRNA from 1 species